GACGAACGCUGGCGGCGUGCUUAACACAUGCAAGUCGAACGAAGUGGCGAACGGGUGAGUAACGCGUAAUCAACCUGCCCUUCAGAGGGGGACAACAGUUGGAAACGACUGCUAAUACCGCAUACUGAAGGAGGGGUGUGCGGCAGAUUAGCUUGUUGGAGGGGUAACGGCCCACCAAGGCGAUGAUCAGUAGCCGGUCUGAGAGGAUGAACGGCCACGUUGGGGCUGAUGCACGGGCCAGACUCCUACGGGGGGCAGCAGGGGGGAAUCUUCCGCAAUGGAUGAAAGUCUGACGGGGCAACUCCGGGUGAGUGAUGGCGGCCUUCGGGUUGGAAAGCUCUGUUAAUCGGGACGCGGUACCGGAAUAGAAAGCCACGGCUAACUACGUGCCAGCAGCCGCGGUAAUAC
rnacentral:rRNA from 1 species